CUCUCCAUAGAUUAUACAGCCGUAACCCAAAAUUUGUUUGUGGUUCUAUGCAUAUGUAAAGAUCGUUUGUUGUGGAUAACGAUCUUGGGAGGCUGCAUACUAAUCGAAGUUAAGUAACUUACACUAUCAGAGCACUGAGUUUGUGGUGUUUAUGUUUGUUUUGUUGUGGAAGACAUUUGUCUGCCGCAAUAUUUAAAAGGAAAAGGUCACUUCUCUAAAAAUUAUACCUUUGAAAACAAGAAUUCUGAGGGGAUUCUAUGGCACCUAAUCCCAAAGCCUCUGAGUUUAUAAAG